GGGUAGCAUGCAGAGGAUUGACACGUGUUCUCUUUGCUGUCCUGCACGCAGCCUGGCUAAUCCAGUGCUAAGCCAGCAGUCAGUAUCCCAGGUCAGUGCUGGAUGCAGUAUAGCUUGCCAAGCUAGCAGUCAGUAUCCCAGGUCUGUGCUGGAUGCAGUGUAGCUUGGCAAGCUAGCAGUCAGUAUCCCAGGUCAGUGCUGGAUGCAGUGUAGCUUGCCAAGCUAGCAGUCAGUAUCCCAAGUCAGUGCUGGAUGCAGUGUAGAUUCCCAAGCUAGCAGUCAGUAUCCCAGGUCUGUGCUGGAUGCAGUGUAGCUUGGCAAGCUAGCAGUCAGUAUCCCAAGUCAGUGCUGGAUGCAGUGUAGAUUCCCAAGCUAGCAGUCAGUAUCCCAGGUCAGUGCUGGAUGCAGUGUAGCUUGCCAAGCUAGCAGUCAGUAUCCCAGGUCAGUGCUGGAUGCAGUGUAGCUUGCCAAGCUAGCAGUCAUAUCCCAGGUCAGUGCUGGAUGCAGUGUAGCUUGCCAAGCUAGCAGUCAUAUCCCAGGUCAGUGCU